GUUUGCUGCAAGAACAAGAUUAUAAGCUUAAAUAAUCUUUUUGUAACAAAAUUUAAUUGCUUCACCUUAAUUCAUCAAUAUUAUUCUUAUGCAAGUUCAAGUGAAACAGAACAGAAAAUCUCGAAUCUAAGGAAUCCUGACGUCCGCGCAUUGCCUUGACAUCAUUCAAUACCUUGCUUACGGCUUCAGAAGAUAUGGACAAUUACGUUUGAAGCAUGGAUGUGAGAAUUCCAUGUCGUCGCGAUCGAAUUUCAAACCACCAUUGUCAAUUGAAGUAAUCUUAUGAAAUCCAUACAUAUAAAGUUGAUGAAUGAAGCUUGCCAUAUUGUUGUGCUUAUAAUUGAGCGGUAGCAGUUCGCGAGCAAAUUGAGCCUGAUUUUGAAUGAUGAAACUUCGACCAUCCAUACUCCAACAAAUAAAAUUAUUCGUCUCAGGAUCUUCGACGAGUCUCCAAAGUUUAGCCAAAAAGGCAGGAACUCCAGCAUUUGUGUGCAUUUUGAUGGCACUUACUUUUUUAAUACUUGUUUUCUUUUUAUAGUUUUCUUUUUCUUUAAAAAAAAUUAUAAUUUUGAGUUCAAUAAAAAAAAAGGACAAAAUUUAUUUAAGUGGGGUUAUGAAAAAUUGUAAAAAUAAGAAAAUACAUAAAAACUCAAACACGAUUUUCGAGCAAA